rnacentral:rRNA from 1 species
UACAAAGGGGGCUAGCGUUGCUCGGAAUCACUGGGCGUAAAGCGCACGUAGGCGGCUUUCUAAGUCAGGGGUGAAAUCCUGGAGCUCAACUCCAGAACUGCCUUUGAUACUGGAGAGCUUGAGUCCGGGAGAGGUGAGUGGAACUCCGAGUGUAGAGGUGAAAUUCGUAGAUAUUCGGAAGAACACCAGUGGCGAAGGCGGCUCACUGGCCCGGUACUGACGCUGAUGUGCGAAAGCGUGGGGAGCAAACAGG